rnacentral:misc_RNA from 1 species
AAGCUCUUUGUUUUUUGAAAUGGUGCUUUUAUGAGAUAAAGCUUUUUUAGAUAAUGCUUUUUUAGAUAAUGCUGGGGAAGGUUUUCCGGUUUAUCUCGGAGGGCUUGUAGCUCACUUGGGUAAAGCGCGCGCUUGAAAGUCGUGAGGCCCGAGGUUCCAGUCCUCCCAGGCCCACCAAUUUACCUAUCCAUUUGCCUUUAUCUGUUUAUUUGCCGAUUUAUCGGUCCAUUGAAUUUAAUUGUUGGUAGCGGUUUUUCAAGGGUAGAAAAAAACUCCUUAUAAAAGACUUCUUUUUAAAAGGUUGGUUUUAAAAAUUUCACUUUAACCAAUUACCCUUAGGCAGGAAAAACUUCAACCGGUUUAAAAGUUAACGGCUUUAUUUUUUUUAAAAAAUUUUCAAUUUUCAAGAGAUCCAAUUUCAUGAUCUCGAAUGCGUUAGUCUUU